GAUUGAACGCUGGCGGCAUGCCUUACACAUGCAAGUCGAACGGUAACAGGUCUUCGGAUGCUGACGAGUGGCGAACGGGUGAGUAAUACAUCGGAACGUGCCCGAUCGUGGGGGAUAACGGAGCGAAAGCUUUGCUAAUACCGCAUACGAUCUACGGAUGAAAGCAGGGGACCGCAAGGCCUUGCGCGGACGGAGCGGCCGAUGGCAGAUUAGGUAGUUGGUGGGAUAAAAGCUUACCAAGCCGACGAUCUGUAGCUGGUCUGAGAGGACGACCAGCCACACUGGGACUGAGACACGGCCCAGACUCCUACGGGAGGCAGCAGUGGGGAAUUUUGGACAAUGGGCGAAAGCCUGAUCCAGCCAUGCCGCGUGCAGGAUGAAGGCCUUCGGGUUGUAAACUGCUUUUGUACGGAACGAAAAGACUCUUUCUAAUAAAGAGG
rnacentral:rRNA from 1 species